rnacentral:tRNA from 1 species
GGGAGUAGCUAGCGGCCUGGUGGCGCUCCCGGUCUUCAAAACCGGUGGGGGGCGCGUUCCGUCCCUGGUGAGUUCGAUUCUCAUCUACUCCCGCCA